rnacentral:rRNA from 1 species
UGCGUAGGCGGUUUUCUAAGUCACGUGUGAAAUCUUCCGGCUCAACCGGAAAACUGCGCGUGAUACUGGAUAACUUGAGUGAGGUAGGGGUGUGUGGAACUUCCGGUGGAGCGGUGAAAUGUGUAGAGAUCGGAAGGAACGCCAGCAGCGAAAGCGGCACACUGGGCCUUUUCUGACGCUGAGGCACGAAAGCUAGGGGAGUGAACGGGAUUAGAUACCCCGGUAAUCCUAGCCGUAAACACUGAACACUGGAGGACGGGGGCUUCGGCCUUCGUUCUCGUAGCGAAAGCGUUAAGUGUUCCGCCUGGGGAGUAUGGUCGCAAGGCUGAA